GGGGGCCCGCACAAGCGGCGGAGCAUGCGGAUUAAUUCGAUGCAACGCGAAGAACCUUACCAAGGCUUGACAUGUGCCAGACCGCCGUGGAAACACGGUUUCCCCUUUGGGGCUGGUUCACAGGUGGUGCAUGGUUGUCGUCAGCUCGUGUCGUGAGAUGUUGGGUUAAGUCCCGCAACGAGCGCAACCCUCGUUCCAUGUUGCCAGCGCGUAAUGGCGGGGACUCAUGAGAGACUGCCGGGGUCAACUCGGAGGAAGGUGGGGACGACGUCAAAUCAUCGUGCCCCUUAUGUCUUGGGCUUCACGCAUGCUACAAUGGCCGGUACAAAGGGUUGCGAUACUGUGGGGUGGAGCUAAUCCCAAAAAGCCGGUCUCAGUUCGGAUUGGGGUCUGCAACUCGACCCCAUGAAGUCGGAGUCGCUAGUAAUCGCAGAUCAGCAACGCUGCGGUGAAUACGUUCCCGGGCCUUGUACACACCGCCCGUCAAGUCACGAAAGUUGGUAACACCCGAAGCCGGUGGCCUAACCCCUUGUGGGAGGGAGCUGUCGAAGGUGGGACUGGCGAUUGGGACUAA
rnacentral:rRNA from 1 species